UACGUAGGAUCCGAGCGUUGUCCGGAUUUACUGGGUGUAAAGGGCGUGUAGGUGGAUCUUUAAGUCGAUGGUGAAAUCCUGCAGCUUAACUGCAGAACGGCCAUUGAUACUGGAGGUCUUGAGUGCGGCAGAGGGAGAUGGAAUUCAUGGUGUAGCGGUGAAAUGUGUAGAUAUCAUGAAGAACACCGGUAGCGAAGGCGGUCUCCUGGUCCGCAACUGACACUGAGGCGCGAAAGCGUGGGGAG
rnacentral:rRNA from 1 species